CUUGACAUGUCAGGAACCUCCGAGAGAUCGGGGGUGCCCGAAAGGGAGCCUGAACACAGGUGCUGCAUGGCUGUCGUCAGCUCGUGUCGUGAGAUGUUGGGUUAAGUCCCGCAACGAGCGCAACCCUUGUCAUUAGUUGCUACGAAAGGGCACUCUAAUGAGACUGCCGGUGACAAACCGGAGGAAGGUGGGGAUGACGUCAAGUCCUCAUGGCCCUUAUGGGUAG
rnacentral:rRNA from 1 species